AAGAGGAAGAGGGAGAGGAAGAAAAAGUGGGGUAAAAUUGUCAAUUCACCUUAUUACGUAAUCAUGGUUAAGUAUUUUAACCGUGGUUAAUUAAAUUUUUUUAACGGAUGCUAACGGUAGGGACAUAUCUAAAUAUAUUAGGAUUUUUUUAGGAAUAACUUAUGAAAGUUGAAGUUUGCAGGAAUAUAUCUGUAAUUCACUAUAUUUGCGGAGACAUGUAUGAAAUUAACCCGAAUCAAUAUAUUAGAUUUUUU
rnacentral:lncRNA from 1 species